rnacentral:rRNA from 1 species
UCACUAGUGAUUAGAGUUUGAUCAUGGCUCAGAAUCAACGCUGGCGGCGUGCCUAACACAUGCAAGUCGAACGCGAAAGGGGAGCAAUCCCUGAGUAGAGUGGCAAACGGGUGAGUAACACGUGGGUGACCUGCCUUCGAGUGGGGGAUAACCUUCCGAAAGGAGGGCUAAUACCGCAUGACAUACCGUGUUUCGAUACACGGAUAUCAAAGCUGGGGAUCGCAAGACCUGGCGCUUGAAGAGGGGCCCGCGUCCGAUUAGCUAGUUGGUGGGGUAACGGCUCACCAAGGCUCCGAUCGGUAUCCGGCCUGAGAGGGCGGACGGACACACUGGAACUGAGACACGGUCCAGACUCCUACGGGAGGCAGCAGUGGGGAAUUGUUCGCAAUGGGCGAAAGCCUGACGACGCAACGCCGCGUGGAGGAUGAAGAAUUUCGGUUCGUAAACUCCUUUCGACCGAGAUGAAAACCCAGGGACUUAAUACAUCCCUGGACUGACAGUAUCGAGAGA